rnacentral:rRNA from 1 species
AUACGUAGGGUGCGAGCGUUGUCCGGAAUUACUGGGCGUAAAGAGCUCGGAGGUGGUUUGUCGCGUCGUCUGUGAAAUUCCGGGGCUUAACUCCGGGCGUGCAGGCGAUACGGGCAUAACUUGAGUACUGUAGGGGAGACUGUAAUUCCUGGUGUAGCGGUGAAAUGCGCAGAUAUCAGGAGGAACACCGGUGGCGAAGGCGGGUCUCUGGGCAGUAACUGACGCUGAGGAGCGAAAGCAUGGGUAGCGAACAGGAUUAGAUACCCUGGUAGUCCAUGCCGUAAACGGUGGGCGCUAGGUGUAGGGGUCUUCCACGACUUCUGUGCCGUAGCUAACGCAUUAAGCGCCCCGCCUGGGGAGUACGGCCGCAAGGCUAAAACUCAAAGGAAUUGACGGGG